UGGGGAAUUUUGGUCGAUGGGCGAAAGCCUGAACCAGCAACGCCGCGUGCAGGAUGAAGGCCCUCGGGUCGUAAACUGCUGUCAGGAGGGAAGAACGGCCUUUUGGUUAAUACCCAAGAGGUGUGACGGUACCUCCAAAGGAAGCACCGGCUAACUCCGUGCCAGCAGCCGCGGUAAUACGGAGGGUGCAAGCGUUGUUCGGAAUUACUGGGCGUAAAGCGCGUGUAGGCGGCUUGGUAAGUCGGAUGUGAAAGCCCGGGGCUCAACCCUGGAACGGCAUCCGAAACUGCCUCGCUAGAGUCCCGGAGAGGAAGGCAGAAUUCCCAGUGUAGGGGUGAAAUCCGUAGAUAUUGGGAGGAAUACCAGUGGCGAAGGCGGCCUUCUGGACGGUGACUGACGCUCAGACGCGAAAGCGUGGGGAGCAAACAGG
rnacentral:rRNA from 1 species